rnacentral:rRNA from 1 species
CCUACGGGCGGCAGCAGUGAGGAAUAUUGGUCAAUGGCCGGAAGGCUGAACCAGCCAAGCCGCGUGAAGGACGAAGGUUCCAAGCAUUGUAAACUUCUUUUGUCAAGGGACAAAAUCCGGCUCGUGAGCCUGACCGCGCGUACUUGACGAUAAAGCAUCGGCUAACUCCGUGCCAGCAGCCGCGGUAAUACGGAGUGUGCGAGCGUUAUCCGGAUAUAGGGGGUUAAAGGGGUGGGUCGUGGGACUGUUAAGUCAGCGGGAAAAGCCGGGGGCUCAACCCCGGCGGGCCGUUGAAACUGGCUGUCUGGAGAUGUGGAGGGGUAGGCGGAAUGCGCAGUGUAGCGGUGAAAUGCUUAGAUAUUGGGCAGAACUCCGAUUGCGAAGGCAGCAUGCCGGAGGGGAUCUGACGCUGAGGCACGAAAGCGUGGGUAUCGAACAGGAUUAGAUACCCUGGUAGUC